UACGUAGGUGGCGAGCGUUGUCCGGAAUUACUGGGUGUAAAGGGAGCGUAGGCGGGAAUGUAAGUUGGAUGUGAAAUACCCAGGCUCAACCUGGGGGCUGCAUCCAAAACUACAUUUCUUGAGUGGAGUAGAGGCAGGCGGAAUUCCUAGUGUAGCGGUGAAAUGCGUAGAUAUUAGGAGGAACACCAAUGGCGAAGGCAGCUCGCUGGGACGUGACUGACGCUGAGACGCGAAAGCGUGGGGAGCAAACAGG
rnacentral:rRNA from 1 species